rnacentral:sRNA from 1 species
GGUUAAGGAAGAGACGGCUGAAGAAAACGAGA